AGAGUUUGAUCCUGGCUCAGAACGAACGCUGGCGGCGCGUUUUAAGCAUGCAAGUCGAGCGGUAAGCAUCCUUCGGGAUGCCUAGAGCGGCGAACGGGUGAGUAACACGUAGGUAAUCUGCCGUGCGAUUGGGGAUAGCCCAUGGAAACAUGGGGUAAUACCGAAUACGACCUUCGGGGGAAAGGCGCUUCGGCGCCGUCGUACGAUGAGCCUGCGGCGCAUUAGUUAGUUGGCGGGGUAACAGCCCACCAAGGCGACGAUGCGUAGCCGACCUGAGAGGGUGAUCGGCCACACUGGGACUGAGAUGCGGCCCAGACUCCUACGGGAGGCAGCAGCUAAGAAUCUUCCGCAAUGGACGAAAGUCUGACGGAGCGACGCCGCGUGGAUGAAGAAGGCUUAACGGUUGUAAAAUCCUUUUCUGCGUGAGGAAUAAGCAUCGGAGGCAAUGCCGGUGCGAUGACGGUAGCGCAGGAAUAAGCCCCGGCCAAUUACGUGCCAGCAGCCGCGGUAACACGUAUGGGGCGAGCGUUGUUCGGAAUUAUUGGGCGUAAAGGGCGCGCAGGCGGUCAUGCAAGCUUGGUGUGAAAGACCACGGCUCAACGGUGGAAACGCGCUGAGAACUGUAUGACUUGAGUUUCGGAGGGGGAACUGGAAUUCCAGGUGUA
rnacentral:rRNA from 1 species